AUACCUUUCUCGGCCUUUUGGCUAAGAUCAAGUGUAGUAUCUGUUCUUAUCAGUUUAAUAUCUGAUACGUGGGUCAUCGACCCACUAUGAUAUUAAAUUAAUUUUUUUUUGGGGGGAGGGUCCACUACAGUGGCUAGCCACUGGGUCCCUCGUGCGUCGUCCAUCCGUUGCACUGCUGCAUGGGCCAGGCGCACCCCGA